CACAUACUCCCUCCGUUCGGAAUUACUUGUCUUGAAAAUGGAUGUAUAUAAAACUAAAAUAUGUCUAGAUACAUCCAUUUUCACGACAAAUAAUUCCGAACAGAGGGAGUAUCUG
rnacentral:pre_miRNA from 1 species